GAAGGUCGGCCGCGGACGAGCCGCUCGCCAACCCGGUCAGGUCCGGAAGGAAGCAGCCGUAACGAGUUCCGCUCGGGUCGCGUGUCCGGCCUUCCAC
rnacentral:SRP_RNA from 1 species